rnacentral:rRNA from 1 species
GAUGAACGCUGGCGGCGUGCCUAAUACAUGCAAGUCGAGCGAACGGACGAGAAGCUUGCUUUUCUGAUGUUAUCGGCGGACGGGUUAGUAACACGUGGAUAACCUACCUAUAAGACUGGGAUAACUUCGGGAAACCGGAGCUAAUACCGGAUAAUAUUUUGAACCGCAUGGUUCAAAAGUGAAAGACGGUCUUGCUGUCACUUAUAGAUGGAUCCGCGCUGCAUUAGCUAGUUGGUAAGGUAACGGCUUACCAAGGCAACGAUGCAUAGCCGACCUGAGAGGGUGAUCGGCCACACUGGAACUGAGACACGGUCCAGACUCCUACGGGAGGCAGCAGUAGGGAAUCUUCCGCAAUGGGCGAAAGCCUGACGGAGCAACGCCGCGUGAGUGAUGAAGGUCUUCGGAUCGUAAAACUCUGUUAUUAGGGAAGAACAUAUGUGUAAGUAACUGUGCACAUCUUGACGGUACCUAAUCAGAAAGCCACGGCUAACUACGUG